CAACGCCGCGUGGAGGGUGAAAUCCCUUGGGAUGUAAACUCCUUUCGAUCGGGACGAUUAUGACGGUACCGGAAGAACGAAGCCCGGCUAACUUCGUGC
rnacentral:rRNA from 1 species